rnacentral:tRNA from 1 species
AGGGAUAUAGCUCAAACGGUAGAGUACUGGUCUCCAAAGCCAGCAGUUGGGAGUUCGAGGCUCUCUAUCCCUG